AUGCAGGCUCGCAGCAGAGGAGCGGGGAGAGACUGGAAGUUGCCCUAACUGCAGAGCCUGGGCCCAGCCUGGCAGAGCCCACAGCACAGAUGCAGGCCCAUCAAGAAGAGCUGCAGCCCAGGAGAACCGCAUGGGGUCAGGCUGCAGGCUAAGAAUAGACUGUUUAACAAGGAACUCUCCACUCAGCAACUUCCUCCCCUGCAGUUGGUUCUCACUUCUCUCUGUCCCAAAUCAUAGCUGUCCCUGAGUCUGGAUCUUCACAGGAGAACCAGCGGAAGGCCCAUGAGGGCUUCAGGUCCACUGAGGAGACACCCACCUGACUGACAGACAGUCCUCACGGGAGAGCCCUCCUGGGAGACCCACACUGCAGUGCUUACCUCAGGCAGGCUCAUCUCGUCAGAGGACUGAGGAUCAAGGGGUCUGUACACACUGGGCACCAACAGAAGGUGCGAAGCAAGCAUUUAAGUCCCAAAAGCAAAUAAAUGGUGGCGGGUGCGGGGGUACUGCUCCUUCCAGUUGUAGAGGAACAGAAUAUGCCAACCUCAAAGUAUACAACUUCAAUUCAGAGAUUAUUUUAAAUGGAAGAUGUCUGAUUUUCAACAGACUCAAGAGAAAGAAAGAGGAAGGAAAAAAGGGGGAGGAAGGGGAGAGAGAGACAAGAUGAAAGAGAGACUCAAUAAAAGCCUUCUCAGAAUUUUCCUUAUCUGAUUACAAGAACCAUCUGAGAAGUAGGCUGCCAUGGAUUCCUCCUAGGGAAGAUCUACUACCCAAUAGGAAUAGAAUAGGAAUUAACCAACUAUAAAUCCUUUCUCCAAGAGAGCUCUGAGAGUGAGCCGAAAACACGGACACCCGAGACUAGGUCUUUAUUAGGGGACAGGAUACCGGGGCCGUCUCGGACAAUGGCAAGAACAGCAGCCAGGGGCUGGCUAGGUGACUUCUUAUAUGGGCAAGGGCAUAACAGGGGGAGACAUAGUGGAGGUAGACAUUUGGCUGCAGCCAGAGGUGAGGUUUAAAUCCACUGGCAAGUCUGAAUUUCUCGGUGGGAAGGACUAUAAGCGGGAGAGCUUCGAGGCAGGAAAGUUAGGUUAUUGUUUCCCUGAGUGAUUUAUUGUCUGCCUGGAAGAGCCAUUUAGGAUGUGGGGCUGACAGAGCCAUUUUAUCCAGCAAGAACUCUAUCAGGUACCACAUUAGGAUCUUGAAAAGGACAGACCAUUCAUACACGUAUAAGCAAACAUUAUCACAGACUUUCUCAUCUCCCACUUGUUUUUCAAAAACCUAUUUGUCUUUCCUAAAGAAACCUAUUUGUUCUCCCUUUUCUUUUCCCUAUUAAGUUAAAGAUAAAAGCUUUAACUCUCAGAGUUCGAGGAGCCUGCUACUACCUUCAUGGCUCCCAUAGCAUAAGACGUAAACUUUGUUCCCUUGUGACUCUCUCUCUUGUUGGAUUAAUUUGAAGGCCCCAGGUAAAUAUAAGAAAGUAAAGGAAAAAUAAUUUUUCUCUUCUCCUACAUAGUAACUGGACAUUUGUUCUAUCUAUGUCCUUUUUAGCCAUCCAGAGUGACUUUGUUGGAACUGCUUCAGCUGUACUUCACAAUUCAUUGAACUCCAAAACUUUUUAUUCCCAAUCUCAUGGGCUGUGUUUCCUUUCUUCUAGUGGAACAUCAGUAGACCACCCACUCCAUUAAAGGAAAAAAAUGACACUAAAACAUCUUCCCUUUCACAACUAAGACGUUUUUCUACCUACUCUAUACUGAAUUUUGUCCCCUGCAAAAUUUCCAUACUGCAACUCUACCCUCCCAACAUGAAGGAGUUUGGAGGUGGAGCCCUUGAGUGGCAAUUAGGUCACCAGGAUGGGGCCCCCAUACUGGGAUCAUUUCCUCCUAAGAACGGGGUGUUGGAGGAGCCCUCCACAUGCCUGGAGAGCAGAAAGCCCACAUGAAGGCGUCUGCGAGCCAGGAAGGCUCCCCUCACCAGACAGGGCACCACCUGGCACCUUGAUCUUAGACUCCUGGCUUCCAAACUUGGGAGAAAUAAGUGUGUGAUAUUUAAGACCCUCUGUUGGUGGAGUUUUGCUAUGAAGUGCAAGCUUUUUGGGACACUAGCCCUGCCUCUUCCACAGGCAAUGAGCACAUAUUUUGAUUGGUGCAAUCACCAAUUCUAGGUUACAAAUAUUUUCCAUCUCAGCAUUUUAGUAUUAAGAUAAAAGCCUUGUUUAACAAGAAUUUUUUUUUUGCCCAAGUUCUUCAUCAUACUGAAUUUCUCUGACUGUUCUUCACUUCAACCAGUUUCAUUCCUGAGUUGCCUGAUCUUGAGACAUUAGUACUAUGUUAGCUUUCUGUCUCUGUGACAAAAUCCCUGGGACAAGCAGCUUAAAGGAGGAAAGGUUUAUUUCGGCUCAUGAUUUCAGAGGUUUCUACUCAGGGUCAGCUGGCCCCAUUGUUUCUGGCCUGGGAGGUGGAAGGGUGAGACAGAGGGAAGCUGGUUGCCUCACGGGGGACCAGAGGCACACAGAGCAAGGGACAGGGACAAGGUAUGACAUUUAAAGGCAUUGACCAGUGACUUACUUCUUCUGAAUGGGCCCCACAUUUCAGAUCCCAACCAAAACAAGCACCUCCCUAGGAAUGCCACGUAUUUAGAAGUUAUCACUCUAGGUUAGUCUAAUCAGUGAGAAAAGACAAUAUGAUGACCACUUGAAACAUGAACUGAGCGUAAGUCAUGCUGGUCAUCUAAACUUUCUAGUCCCAUUAAUUUAAAAUUGUACAAUCACCCCUUUGGUUCACUCAAAGCUCUCUAGAGUUUUAGAAGGCCAGUUUCGGUCAUCUGGUGCUGUGGUUUGCUUGUGUAAAUGAUGGAUUGGCAUAAUCCUUAUGAAUUUUCAGGUAACUUUCAUCAUUCUCCAGUAAUCAAUUCAAAAUCAAUUCUGCUAAGUCAGUGUCUCAGACAGUACCCCUUCAGCUGGUUACAUUGUCAAGGCCACUUCUCAGUUUUCAACACCCAAGGGCUACCUGGCCAGUUUCAUUGUUUCCCACUGGUUUCCUGGCGGAAGAAAAGCCAUAUGAAAUAAUGUACACACACUGAACAACAAUGCUUCUCCGCUGAACACAGCCACACUUGAGUCCUGUGGCAGGAGGAGGGCAGGGGUGUGCCCCAUGUGGUGACCUCGGGUUGGACCGUUGUCCCUUACAGGUUCCUGACACAGGUCUGGAGGAAGCAGCCCCAACUCUCUGUGCUGAGGGACAAUUUUUUUCCCUUAAAAUGGGAGAUUUGCACCAUUUCAAAGUUUGAGUGUAAAGAGAGACUUUAUUGGUUCUUUUAGCCUUUACUAUUUUUAAAUCAGAGAGUACAAGUUUACAUCAUGCACAUUCAUGUGGCAACUCGAAGUGCACGGAAGUUCUGAAAGACGCUGCUGGGGUGAGGCCCUGGAAAGAAAUUGGUUUUGAAGUAGAAUGGAAAAAAUAAAGAUAGGUAGAAAGGAGACGAGGAAGAUCAGAAUUUUUAAAAUUAUACUUUUAAGAAAAACUAUAGCUCCGGGGCACAAAACUUACUUAAGCCAUUUUCUCUUCCUGGAAAUGCACUUAAAAAAAAAAACAAAAAACUUUCUGAGGGUCUUCAGACACCGGGAGCCUUUGACUUGGGCCCUGGGCCAAGCUUUUCACCUGUGAGCAGCGCUUCCUCCCACAGACUCUGCCCUGCAGGAAGCAGCAGCAGGAGCAGGCAGCGGAUCUCAGCUUCAUACAGGGAAACGGUUUGCACUGCGACACAGCCACCGGGUGAGUGACCGACGGACAGCAGCACACACACCCCAGAAUGCCCAUCCGGAAGACACCCCAACACCAGUAAAAAUACCCAGCUUGGGAUCAUAAGGCACCCUUCUCUCUUUUCAGGGCCCACACUCUCUAUUUCUUUGAGUGCAUACUUUUAAAAUGUCUGCCUAAUAAAUCACUCGAUGCUGUUUA